rnacentral:rRNA from 1 species
GUGGAUUAGAUACCCUGGUAGCCCACGCCGUAAACGAUGUCAACUAGCCGUUGGGAUCCUUGAGAUCUUAGUGGCGCAGCUAACGCAUUAAGUUGACCGCCUGGGGAGUACGGCCGCAAGGUUAAAACUCAAAUGAAUUGACGGGGGCCCGCACAAGCGGUGGAGCAUGUGGUUUAAUUCGAAGCAACGCGAAGAACCUUACCAGGCCUUGACAUCCAAUGAACUUUCCAGAGAUGGAUUGGUGCCUUCGGGAACAUUGAGACAGGUGCUGCACGGCUGUCGACAGCU